rnacentral:rRNA from 1 species
AACGAACGCUGGCGGCAUGCCUAACACAUGCAAGUCGAACGAGACCUUCGGGUCUAGUGGCGCACGGGUGCGUAACGCGUGGGAAUCUGCCCUCUGGUGCGGAGCAACAGUUGGAAACGACUGCUAAUACCGGAUAAUGACUUCGGUCCAAAGAUUUAACGCCUGAGGAUGAGCCCGCGUCGGAUUAGCUUGUUGGUGAGGUAAAAACUCACCAAGGCGACGAUCCGUAGCUGGUCUGAGAGGAUGAUCAGCCACACUGGGACUGAGACACGGCCCAGACUCCUACGGGAGGCAGCAGUGGGGAAUAUUGGACAAUGGGCGAAAGCCUGAUCCAGCAAUGCCGCGUGAGUGAUGAAGGCCUUAGGGUUGUAAAGCUCUUUUACCCGGGAUGAUAAUGACAGUACCGGGAGAAUAAGCCCCGGCUAACUCCGUGCCAGCCGCCGCGGUAAUAC